rnacentral:lncRNA from 1 species
UUAAAGCGCUUCAGCCCUAAUUUAGCCAUUCUACGGCCAGGUUCUUGGUUCAUGACUUUCCUGCUUAGACAAUUAAAGUUACCUGUACAGAAAACCACCUAUUUUAGGAUCUGUUUUGUUAAACUGAGCCUAGCCAGGCCCUUGAGCUCCUUAACCCCUCCCCUCUACACCUUUCCUACUCCAUACUUUUCAUAAAAAUUUUCUAAGUUGCUCUGCAGCUCCUGGGCUCCACAAAAACAUAUGUCACCAUGAGCUUCCUAUAGAAUUAUGACCACAAGAUCUUUCAUCUGGGUCUUCACUAGUCACUCUCUCUGUCUCUGUCUCUGUCUCUCUGUCUCUCUGUCUGUCUCUCUCUCUCUCUCUCUCUCUCUGCCCUAAUGCCUUUCUGGUCCUUUACUUUUUACCAGGCAUAAUGUUAAGGAUACAAGUGGGACCCUGCGCUUUCUCUCAGGAUCAGAACACUUUUGGUGCCUGUCCCUGUGAACAGAUUCUUCCUUGGUGUCACCGAAUGACAAUGAUAUGGGAGGAAAGGACCUUCCUGAUUUUUUUCCUGAACAUUACUAAAUGUAACCAUAGCAAAAUGUAAAACCAAAAGGAAAAAAUAGAACGGAAUACAAAUCAGAGACGGGGCACACUAGCAUUUGACCAUUGUAAAUGUAAGUCUUUAGACCUUGGUGAGUGACAUCUCGUGUGCUUAAUAAACCCACAGGAGUGUUUUGGAUCAAGUUGACUCAAUUUCCUCUGCUGUGAAAUUGAAAUAAUAAGAUUAAAUGAGAUACAACCCAGUGUGCCCUUCAUCUCGUUCCUAGACAAGGGCUGGCCCAUCUCUUUCUCCUAUUACGUCUUAUUCUGUGGAAAAUCAUUUUUACAAGCAUAGAUUUCAAAUUUUUUUUACUUCAAGAUUUGAAGAAAUGUUAAGAUUCACAAAAUUUAAGAUUUGAAGAAAUUUUGUAUAUUUCUAGCAGAUUAGCUUAGGUUUGUUUGGACCAAUGAUUCCUGAAUUGUAUCUCAUUGUGAUCCCUUUGGUGACCUUGGAAGGUACUGAUGCCUGAUGCCCUUUCCCUACCACUCUUACUUAACCAGUGUGAGGGAAGAUUCGACCAAUGUAGUGGUGCAAACCUCCCAGCUGAUUCUAAUACAUCAGAUGGAAAAUGGAGGGUUACAUCAGUCAGUGGAUUUGACAAUGAUCCUGGCUGAAAACCUAGAAAAUCUAGGAUUAAUGGUUCAGGGUAUCUAGAAAACAAAGCAGUUAUAUAGGUACCAUUAAUUUUGCUUGGGUAAAGCCCUAAAAAUUGUGCUGAAUGUUUAUGUUCACACACACACACACGCACACGCACACGCACACACACACACACACACACACACGCAGAACUUAAGGUUAAUGAGGUUCAAUCAGCAAAUAGAAACCAUACCAAUAAUUUGAACAGUGAAGUCAGUAUUAAGAAUCAUUAACAAGUAUUUUUGAAAAGCACAGAGAAAAAUAAAGUCAGGAAUAAAAGUCACAGAUACAGUAGGAACAAUCACACCCUCUAGUUAGAAGCAGAACACUAGCUGAAGAGUUAGCCUAUAAACAGAUCCUACUGCGAGGCCUAGAUUCAAUUCCUCCAAGAAAGCGUGUGAGGCUCAGGCUCAGUGUACGUCGAAAGUUCUUGAUGUGCUGCAAAGCAACUGCCCAUUGGGACAUUCUGUCUAUUUGUAGCAUCUCUCAAUCGCCCUCUACUGGCAAGACCUAAUGCUGUGUCUGCCUUCAAAGUAGAAAUGCAGCAGGGAACAGCUCCACCUUCACAAGACAGGGCAAAGAAGGGUGAAUUUAGAGCCAAGGGGCAAAAGCGCUGAUAACUGGCCCAAGAAGGAAUAAUGAGACAAAUCGUUCAAGGUGUUUUGUGCUGCAGAAUACUACAGCAAACUAUAUCAUCAAAUGCCUUUAACUUGAGCAGGAAUUUAUGGAAGUAGCCAAGAAUCCCG